GCCUGGGUGGCUCAACGGUUGAGCGUCUGCCUUCGGCUCAGGUUGUGAUCCUGGGGGUCCUGGGAUCAAGUCCCACAUCAGGCU
rnacentral:tRNA from 1 species